CACAUAUCAAAGGUUAGAUCUCAUCUUUUAUUCUCUCAAAAUUCUCUAGAAAAGAUUUCCAAAGUUGAUAAAUAACUCAUUCGAGUUUUUCAAAUAUCUUGAUCCAAUCUUCUAUAUUGGUGAUCAAGUAAAGAUCCACAUCAAGGAGGGGCCACUGCUAAUCAGAAUUAAGGUCCAAACACCGCUACUUGAUACACUUUGUCUUGAGAAGCAAAAUGUGAAUCUUUAUGCAGAGUUUUUCC